rnacentral:rRNA from 1 species
CUGAAUGGAAGGGCCAUCGCUCAACGGAUAAAAGGUACUCCGGGGAUAACAGGCUGAUACCGCCCAAGAGUUCAUAUCGACGGCGGUGUUUGGCACCUCGAUGUCGGCUCAUCACAUCCUGGGGCUGAAGUAGGUCCCAAGGGUAUGGCUGUUCGCCAUUUAAAGUGGUACGCGAGCUGGGUUUAGAACGUCGUGAGACAGUUCGGUCCCUAUCUGCCGUGGGCGCUGGAGAACUGAGGGGGGCUGCUCCUAGUACGAGAGGACCGGAGUGGACGCAUCACUGGUGUUCGGGUUGUCAUGCCAAUGGCACUGCCCGGUAGCUAAAUGCGGAAGAGAUAAGUGCUGAAAGCAUCUAAGCACGAAACUUGCCCCGAGAUGAGUUCUCCCUGAGACUUAGAGUCUCCUGAAGGAACGUUGAAGACGACGACGUUGAUAGGCCGGGUGUGUAAGCGCAGCGAUGCGUUGAGCUAACCGGUACUAAUGAACCGUGAGGCUUAACCUU